rnacentral:lncRNA from 1 species
GACAUGGUAAGCAAUGAGAGGUUGAAGUGGAUACUACACCUGGCAGCCUCUUCUCCCUCAAAAUUAGGGUUUUGAUGCAAAGGGGAAAUUGUUCACCCCUACGCUGUGAAGGAAGAUUGCUCGCGAUUCUCGACCAUGAAUGAAGACGUGAGUUGCUCGUUGUUGCUGUAUCGCGAUUAGCGUCUUGAACUUCUUUAGGGUUUUUUAUUUCUUUUCGCAGGUGUGUACUGGGUGGAGAAUACUCACGACGACGCGAAGCUCACGCAUCUUAUUCGCGAUAGGGUUUUGCGAUUUAAGCUCAUGUUCCUUUUAUAGAUUUUUAGUUCUUGUAGUUUGCAGGUUUGAUGACGUCGCAGAUGGAGAUGUGGUGGUUGCAUGUUCUCGCAUUGAGUGGUGUGAUUUUUAUGGCAACAACGGCUUAAAGCAGGCUUUGGAACAUGAUAGCAAUGGUGAUGCUUCACGGUGGCGAUGACACGAGGUAGUGGUGGUGGUGGUGAUGAGGUCACACUUGGGUUCCUAAUCUGCUGCAAGAAGUGCUUUGUUUAGUUAUUUUCAUAUGAAUAUUUUUUUUUAUUCAAAAUGUGUUGUGAUGAUUAAUGAAAUUGACAUAUUUUAUUAUUUUUAAUAAAAUAUUUAUCUCUCAUUCC